GAGGACUGGGAAGGCUUUAUGGUGGAAAUAAGAAGACUUCAGAUCUGCCCCGCAUGGAGGCUGUUGGCACGGGGAAGGUAGAGCUGAACCACGGACAGGUUUGCCAGCGACUGGCUAGAGGACCAAGCUGGGAGGUGUUCUCAACAAUUUUGGGUUUCCACAUGUAACUCCUCACAUAACUGGCCAAAUGGAAUUGACUCCACUUCUGAUUCAGUAGUUCUUUUUCAGAAUAGACAAUCAUGUUGCAUUUUGGACCAGGAGACCAACACCCAAUUGUGGAAGACAAUAACCAAAUGACUGGAUUUUUACUGUCUCUUAUAUUGGGGCAGAGCAGCCCUUCUACUGCCCCAAGCAUUCUGGCUUUACAUAUGUUAAUACCUUAAUUUUAAGCAGGGCUGCCUAAAAGAAACCUGUUCUAGGACUGUGGAGGGUGGUACAUUCAAAAUCAAUCUCUCCCCAAAAGGCUCAAGCUAUAUCUCAAGAUAUUAAUUUAAUAGUAUCAUUAAUUUCAUGUUAACAAUCUAAUCCCAGAUAUUUAUUCAAGAUUUGUAUUCUUUCACAAUACCUUAAAUCAAUCAUGCAUUUCUAACUUAGGAGCCUUUCUGCUGUUUUUAAGAGGAAUUUACAUAUUUUUGAUCUGAUCUAUUACCCAUUGAUUUAGCAUUCACAUGGUGCCACAGAGAAUUAUUCAAAUAUGAGGCCCUGUGUUAAUCACAAAACCUAGUUCUUGGAAUAGCCAGAUUUGUCCCCAGUGCUCCACAAUCCCGUUCUCUGUCUCUCCUACUAAAUCUUGAGCAAUUUGAAGCCUGGGUGGAGUCUUCGUGCCAGUCCCUAGCACCCUGACACACGGCUGGGAUUGGUGAGGUUAACUGAAUAUGAAAGUUCUCUGUCACAAAUAUAUCCUGGUGAUUUCUGUAAUAACUGCCUGUAGAUACAGACUGAAGGUAGAUGUAAGGAAUUAGGGAACGUAGCAGAGGAGUUAGCUUAAAUCCGUUAAUGUAUAGAUGUAACACCAUAACUGUGAGAAACACAUCUUCCCUCUUCUGUUAAAGAUAUGAUUUCAGUAUUGAUUCAGUAUACUUACUAUUGGAGACUAAAUUGACAGAGUAUCCAUCUACAGUGUAAGAAAAUGUUCGACUAUAUUGCUUAAGUAUUUGGAUUUAAACACUCUAUCAAGAAGUGUGGAAUGAUCAUCAGGCCAGCUAAUGGCAUCCUAUGUCGGCUUACAGUGAUUCAACAAACAGAAAAGGGUAAGUCUUCUUUGGCGUAUUUGCUCUUUGUGUGUGGUGAUUAUUUAUCCCAAUAUGAA